CCCAUGGCAACUGCUGCUUCAUGUCCCGAGGAAAGCCAAGGGUGGAAGAGUGCCUGUACAGCCUCUUCUACUUUCUUUUGGAACUUUACAAGGGAGUCACAUUCGCAGGGGUCCUCGUCUAUGGGAUCAGAAAGCACAAGUUCAGAUGUUAAUCUGCAGCUUCUUAGCAAUCUGGCUCAUAGCCUUGAAGUCGGCCGUGUAGAAGUAGUGCUCGC